AUAAUUUUAGAGAGGGAACGGGAUGCCACUCCUCCGGUACCCAUUCCCUCCCCCUAUUCCAUUCUCCUUUCCAUACUAUUCCAUUCCCCUCUACCCGCUCUAUUAUGUUUAUAUACAUAUACAUAUAUAUUUUUUUUAUUUCGGGUGGGGGUUUUGGGACAGGGCCGGGCCAGCUUAUUUCUUGAUCUUCCUUUUAUUUUGAAUAAUGAUCAUAGAGACAUAAAUAAAGGUGCCGAUAACGAUACAGGUAAAAAGGUGAAGAAGAGAAAGGGAAGAAGAAAGUGAAAGUUCAAAUAUUGUGCCUCCAUAUAGGAGUGAUGUAACCACAUUGAUGAUGGUUACAUAUGGAGAAAAUAUGGCCAAAAGGUUGCCAAAAACACUAUCCAUCCAAGCAAUUGUUUCUUGGAAGAAUCAAUCUUUACAAGCUUGGGAAAGAACUCAAUGAACCAAAAAGAAACCGAAGAAACCGAGAAAGAAACUAAAGAAAAAUGAUUCAAUGGCAAUGGCAAUGCAGAAAACAUUGAAAAGGAGAAGUCAAGAGGGUCUCUGUAAGAAGAAGCAACCAUUAUUCUUCUGCAGCCAAUUUUUGGGCGUUGAAAUUUGAAGUUGUGGGAAUCCUGAUGAUGCUGCAGCAUUUGCAAAUUGUUGAGAGCCACCAGAUUGCUGCCAUUGAUGGCUUUCACUCAAACUCAGUGAAACUUCGUCACUCCCUCCUAACCCUUCUUCAUUGCUGCUUCUCAACAAAUGAAUCUACAAACAAAAAUGCAAGUUUGCAACUUCCAUUACAACUCCUUAA